rnacentral:rRNA from 1 species
UACGUAGGCAGCGAGCGUUGUUCGGAGUUACUGGGCGUAAAGGGUGUGUAGGCGGUUGUUUAAGUUUGGUGUGAAAUCUCCCGGCUCAACUGGGGAGGGUGCGCCGAAUACUGAAUGACUUGGAGUGCGGGAGAGGAGAGUGGAAUUCCUGGUGUAGCGGUGAAAUGCGUAGAUAUCAGGAGGAACACCGGUGGUGUAGACGGCUCUCUGGACCGUAACUGACGCUGAGACACGAAAGCGUGGGUAGCAAACAGG